rnacentral:rRNA from 1 species
UGCAGUCGACGGCAGCACGGGGGCAACCCUGGUGGCGAGUGGCGAACGGGUGAGUAAUACAUCGGAACGUGUCCUGUAGUGGGGGAUAGCCCGGCGAAAGCCGGAUUAAUACCGCAUACGCUCUACGGAGGAAAGGGGGGGAUCUUAGGACCUCCCGCUACAGGGGCGGCCGAUGGCAGAUUAGCUAGUUGGUGGGGUAAAGGCCUACCAAGGCGACGAUCUGUAGCUGGUCUGAGAGGACGACCAGCCACACUGGGACUGAGACACGGCCCANACUCCUACGGGAGGCANCAGUGGGGAAUUUUGGACAAUGGGGGCAACCCUGAUCCAGCAAUGCCGCGUGUGUGAAGAAGGCCUUCGGGUUGUAAAGCACUUUUGUCCGGAAAGAAAACGCCGUGGUUAAUACCCGUGGCGGAUGACGGUACCGGAAGAAUAAGCACCGGCUAACUACGUGCCAGCAGCCGCGGUAAUACGUAGGGUGCAAGCGUUAAUCGGAAUUACUGGGCGUAAAGCGUGCGCAGGCGGUCCGCUAAGACAGAUGUGAAAUCCCCGGGCUUAACCUGGGAACUGCAUUUGUGACUGGCGGGCUAGAGUAUGGCANAGGGGGGUAGAAUUCCACGUGUAGCANUGAAAUGCGUAGAGAUGUGGAGGAAUACCGAUGGCNAANGCAGCCCCCUGGGCCAAUACUGACGCUCAUGCACGAAAGCGUGGGGAGCAAACAGGAUUAGAUACCCUGGUAGUCCACGCCCUAAACGAUGUCAACUAGUUGUCGGGUCUUCAUUGNCUUGGUAACGUANCUAACGCGUGAAGUUGACCGCCUGGGGAGUACGGUCGCCAGAUUAAAACUCAAAGGAAUUGACGGGGACCCGCACAAGCGGNGGAUGAUGUGNAUUA